rnacentral:rRNA from 1 species
GAUGAACGCUAGCGAUAGGCUUAACACAUGCAAGUCGAGGGGCAGCACAAGGUAGCUUGCUAUCUGGGUGGCGACCGGCGCACGGGUGCGUAACGCGUAUGCAACUUGCCCUAUACAGGAAGAUAACCCGUCGAAAGACGGACUAAUACUGCGUAUGCUCACAACUUGGCAUCAAGUGGUGAGGAAAGAAAUUCGGUAUAGGAUAGGCAUGCGUCCCAUUAGCUUGUUGGUGAGGUAACGGCUCACCAAGGCAACGAUGGGUAGGGGAACUGAGAGGUUUAUCCCCACACUGGUACUGAGACACGGACCAGACUCCUACGGGAGGCAGCAGUGAGGAAUAUUGGUCAAUGGUCGCGAGCCUGAACCAGCCAAGUCGCGUGAAGGAUGACUGUCUUAUGGAUUGUAAACUUCUUUUAUACGGGAAUAACAAGAGUCACGUGUGACUCCCUGCAUGUACCGUAUGAAUAAGCAUCGGCUAACUCCGUG